rnacentral:rRNA from 1 species
GACAGAGGGUGCAAGCGUUGUUCGGAAUCAUUGGGCGUAAAGGGCGCGUAGGCGGUUUGGUAAGUCAGAUGUGAAAGCCCAGGGCUCAACCUUGGAAGUGCAUCUGAAACUACUGAACUAGAGUAUCGGAGAGGGUGGUGGAAUUCCCAGUGUAGAGGUGAAAUUCGUAGAUAUUGGGAGGAACACCGGUGGCGAAGGCGACCGCCUGGACGAAUACUGACGCUGAGGCGCGAGAGCGUGGGGAGCAAACAGG